UCAGGCCUAACACAUGCAAGUCGUACGAGAGUUUUUUACUCAAGUGGCGGACGGGUGAGUAACACGUAAGAAUUUGCCUCUAGGAGGGGGAUAACAACUGGAAACGGUUGCUAAUACCCCAUAUGCUUUCGAGUGAAAUGGAUUUCCGCCUAGAGAGAAGCUUGCGGCUGAUUAGCUUGUUGGUGAGGUAAUGGCUCACCAAGGCGACGAUCAGUAUCUGGUUUGAGAGGACGAUCAGACACACUGGAACUGAGACACGGUCCAGACUCCUACGGGAGGCAGCAGUGGGGAAUUUUCCGCAAUGGGCGAAAGCCUGACGGAGCAAUACCGCGUGAGGGAUGACGGCCUAUGGGUUGUAAACCUCUUUUUUCAGGGAGGAAUUAAUGACGUGUACCUGAAGAAUAAGCAUCGGCUAACUCCGUGCCAGCAGCCGCGGUAAGACGGAGGAUGCAAGUGUUAUCCGGAAUCACUGGGCGUAAAGCGUCUGUAGGUGGUUUAAUAAGUCAACUGUUAAAUCUUGAGGCUCAACCUCAAAAUCGCAGUCGAAACUAUUAGACUAGAGUAUAGUAGGGGUAAAGGGAAUUUCCAGUGGAGCGGUGAAAUGCGUAGAUAUUGGAAGGAACACCGAUGGCGAAGGCACUUUACUGGGCUAUUACUAACACUCAGAGACGAAAGCUAGGGUAGCAAAUGGGAUUAGAUA
rnacentral:rRNA from 1 species